GGGUCGUUAGCUCAGUUGGUAGAGCAGUUGACUUUUAAUCAAUUGGUCGCAGGUUCGAAUCCUCGAAUCCUGCACGACCCACCA
rnacentral:tRNA from 1 species